rnacentral:rRNA from 1 species
UCCCAGACUCCUACGGGAGGCAGCAGUGGGGAAUAUUGCACAAUGGGGGGAACCCUGAUGCAGCGACGCCGCGUGGGUGAGGAAGUCCUUCGGUAUGUAAAGCCCUAUCAGCAGGGAAGAAAAUGACGGUACCUGACUAAGAAGCCCCGGCUAACUACGUGCCAGCAGCCGCGGUAAUACGUAGGGGGCGAGCGUUAUCCGGAUUUACUGGGUGUAAAGGGAGCGUAGACGGUUAAUCAAGUCUGAAGUGAAAGCCCGCGGCUCAACUGCGGAACGGCUUUGGAAACUGAGUAACUAGAGUGCUGGAGGGGCAGGCGGAAUUCCUGGUGUAGCGGUGAAAUGCGUAGAUAUCAGGAGGAACACCGGUGGCGAAGGCGGCCUGCUGGACAGUAACUGACGUUGAGGCUCGAAAGCGUGGGGAGCAAACAGGAUUAGAUACCCCGGUA